rnacentral:misc_RNA from 1 species
GGGGGCCAAGGCUCCCACCGGUCUUCCUCUAUGUCCACCCCUGUUCAUGAGAGAAUCAACAUUGACCAAUGAGCAUAACAUUUUUUGUUUUUUUGGAAAUCAAUGAACAUUACUUAAUAACCGUUGAACGCAGAUGCCACUCACAAAUUAGAUAUAAAGUGGCCCUACGACUCUAUAUUACAAAAUUUUAGCACUCUAUGUGCUCCAUUUGCUUGAUUACAAUAGCCAUCUUUUUGCAUGAGACUUAACUACAUAAUAGAGGGCAAAUUGAGAGAAGAUAGAAGUUCAUAUUUUCAUUAUUCACAUAAAAAACCAAGUUACUAUAUGUAUCCUAUUUAUCAAAAAUUACCAUCUCAACCACUAAACUUGAUGUCAUCGAAAAAAUUGAUCAAUCAGCCCAUUGAACAUAAAUUAUUAAGACCCCAAAGAGAAUCAACCUUGCUAAAUCUUUGUAACCGAAUAAGUAGUUCCAAAAAAAAUUUCUUACAGCGUUAUCUCUUAAGGUUUUAAAGGACACAUAGCAACAUGAUUGCAUCAAAAAACUACAAAAAAUUGAAUCACUUUAUUUUUUUUUCAUUUAGACAAACAUAUAGCUUCUUUAUCCAAUUAUUUGCUCACAAUCAUAUUAAUUGUGUGUAUAUGGAAAUUCCAUUUUAAAUAAUCUGCAAAACUCAAUCAAAUACUAGCAAAUUAAAUGCAUAUGAUUCAAGAAACACAUAGCUUUAUAAAGGCAAAGUGUUGUUUUAUGUGCUUUUUCUCAGUCCUUCUUUUGACACUUCUCUCAUUAGGAUUACUGGGUUAAAUAGGUUGGCCUGGUACAUGCUU